rnacentral:rRNA from 1 species
ACGGGUGAGUAAUACAUCGGAACGUGCCCAAUCGUGGGGGAUAACGCAGCGAAAGCUGUGCUAAUACCGCAUACGAUCUACGGAUGAAAGCAGGGGAUCGCAAGACCUUGCGCGAAUGGAGCGGCCGAUGGCAGAUUAGGUAGUUGGUGAGGUAAAGGCUCACCAAGCCUUCGAUCUGUAGCUGGUCUGAGAGGACGACCAGCCACACUGGGACUGAGACACGGCCCAGACUCCUACGGGAGGCAGCAGUGGGGAAUUUUGGACAAUGGGCGAAAGCCUGAUCCAGCCAUGCCGCGUGCAGGAUGAAGGCCUUCGGGUUGUAAACUGCUUUUGUACGGAACGAAACGGCCUUUUCUAAUAAAGAGGGCUAAUGACGGUACCGUAAGAAUAAGCACCGGCUAACUACGUGCCAGCAGCCGCGGUAAUACGUAGGGUGCAAGCGUUAAUCGGAAUUACUGGGCGUAAAGCGUGCGCAGGCGGUUAUGUAAGACAGUUGUGAAAUCCCCGGGCUCAACCUGGGAACUGCAUCUGUGACUGCAUAGCUAGAGUACGGUAGAGGGGGAUGGAAUU